GUUAAUGUAAUCAUACUGAAUUAAAUUAUUUAAAAAAAAUAAAAAAAAAAUGGAAAAACCGGCUACAAUUAAAAAUAAAAUUCUCAAAAAAAACAACUACUGAGUUGGAAGAAGAAGUCGCACAAUGUUUAAUUGACAUUGAGUUAUCACCCGCAUCAGAUAUAAAGAACGAAGUAAAAGCAAUCAAGAUUGUAUCAUGCGAAUUAAUAGAUACUGAAAAAUUAAAAAAAAAAACAAUUUUAGUAUAUAUCCCAUAUAAAACGUAUAUGACAUAUGUAAAGAAAAUACAUAAAAAGUUAAUUAGCGAAAUUGAAAAAAAAAACUAAAAAAUAUGUUGUGAUUGUGGCAAAAAGAGAAACUUUAAAAGCUAACCAAAAAAAACAAAAAAUUUAAAAUAAUACCAAGAUCUAGAACUUUGAAACAUGUUUAUGAGGCAAUGUUAGAAGAUAUUGUAGCACCAAGUGAAAUCAUAGGACAAAGAAUAAGCAUGAACACCGAUGGAAAAAGGUUAUACAAAAUUAUAUUAGAUUCAAAAGAAAGACAAAGAGAUAACAUAGAGGAUAAAUUACAUAGUUUUGCAGCUGUGUAUAAAGCAAUAACUAAGAGGGAUGUUGUUUUCAGUUUACCACCAACUAAUGAAAAAUAAACAAAUGAAAAAAAAGCAAUUGAAAAAUGAGAAAAAAGCAAUUAGAAGAUAGAAAGAUAGAAAAAAAAGAAAUUGAAAGAUAGAAAAAAGCUCUUCACACUUGCAUAACUGUUUAAUCCUAGUUUUAAUUUUUAAGGAGUUCUACGAUUUUAUUUUAUACAUACAUACGUACAUAUACACAUAUAUUGUUAUUUGUGUAUGUAUUUUUAUCCUCAUUUUUAUGUUUGCACUAUUUUAUUAUUGUAAAGUUGCAAUAAUUUAUUUUUUAUUUGCCUAUGCUAUAUGCUAUGUAGAACUCGAAAAAAACAUACGUAAAAAAAAAAAAACUACUUCAAAAAAUUGGAUUAAUUUAAUUAUUGUAAAGUUAAGAACGUUAGUUAAUUCGUGGUGAAUUACAACAAAAUUGUUAAAAAAAAAAAUAAAAAAUUGAUUGAAAUGUAUGUGAUGGUAUUU
rnacentral:lncRNA from 1 species